UACGUAGGGUGCGAGCGUUGUCCGGAAUUAUUGGGCGUAAAGAGCUCGUAGGCGGUUUGUUGCGUCGGCCGUGAAAACCUGCAGCUUAACUGUGGGCCUGCGGCCGAUACGGGCAGACUUGAGUUCGGUAGGGGAGACUGGAAUUCCUGGUGUAGCGGUGAAAUGCGCAGAUAUCAGGAGGAACACCAAUGGCGAAGGCAGCAUCUGGACGGUGACUGACGCUGAGACGCGAAAGCGUGGGGAGCAAACAGG
rnacentral:rRNA from 1 species